UACCAGCACCCCGAGUGGUCGGGACGUUUAUUGGGCCUAAAGCCUCCGUAGCCGGUUCUACAAGUCUUCCGUUAAAUCCACCUGCUUAACAGAUGGGCUGCGGAAGAUACUAUGGAGCUAGGAGGCGGGAGAGGCAAGCGGUACUCGAUGGGUAGGGGUAAAAUCCGUUGAUCCAUUGAAGACCACCAGUGGCGAAGGCGGCUUGCCAGAACGCGCUCGACGGUGAGGGAUGAAAGCUGGGGGAGCAAACCGG
rnacentral:rRNA from 1 species